GACCUGGUGGUGAAAGGCAUCACAUCCACAUUGCUUGGGUGUGUUCUGAUAUGUUAUUUGUGGGAAUCCCUGGUUCGAAUCCGGGCCAGGUCA